rnacentral:rRNA from 1 species
GACGGGGGGGCAAGUGUUCUUCGGAAUGACUGGGCGUAAAGGGCGCGUAGGCGGCCGAUCAAGUCAGAUGUGAAAGUCCUGGGCUUAACCUGGGGACUGCAUUUGAUACUGAUUGGCUUGAAUGCAGGAGAGGAUAGCGGAAUUCCCAGUGUAGAGGUGAGAUUCGUAGAUAUUGGGAAGAACACCGGUGGCGAAGGCGGCUAUCUGGACUGUGAUUGACGCUGAGGCGCGAAAGCGUGGGGAGCAAACAGG